rnacentral:rRNA from 1 species
GAUCCUGGCUCAGGACGAACGCUGGCGGCGUGCCUAAUACAUGCAAGUCGAGCGGACAGAUGGGAGCUUGCUCCCUGAUGUUAGCGGCGGACGGGUGAGUAACACGUGGGUAACCUGCCUGUAAGACUGGGAUAACUCCGGGAAACCGGGGCUAAUACCGGAUGGUUGUUUGAACCGCAUGGUUCAAACAUAAAAGGUGGCUUCGGCUACCACUUACAGAUGGACCCGCGGCGCAUUAGCUAGUUGGUGAGGUAACGGCUCACCAAGGCAACGAUGCGUAGCCGACCUGAGAGGGUGAUCGGCCACACUGGGACUGAGACACGGCCCAGACUCCUACGGGAGGCAGCAGUAGGGAAUCUUCCGCAAUGGACGAAAGUCUGACGGAGCAACGCCGCGUGAGUGAUGAAGGUUUUCGGAUCGUAAAGCUCUGUUGUUAGGGAAGAACAAGUACCGUUCGAAUAGGGCGGUAC